rnacentral:rRNA from 1 species
UACGGGGGGGGCAAGCGUUGUUCGGAAUUACUGGGCGUAAAGGGCUCGUAGGCGGCCAACUAAGUCAGACGUGAAAUCCCCAGGCUCAACCUGGGAACUGCGUCUGAUACUCGGAUGGCUUGAAUCCGGGAGAGGGAUGCAGAAUUCCAGGUGUAGCGGUGAAAUGCGUAGAUAUCUGGAGGAAUACCGGUGGCGAAGGCGGCAUCCUGGACCGGCAUUGACGCUGAGGAGCGAAAGCUGAGGGGAGCAAACGGG